AACUAACGCUGGCGGCGUGCCUAACACAUGCAAGUCGUACGAGAAAGCCGGCUUCGGCUGGUGAGUAAAGUGGCGCACGGGUGAGUAACGCGUGGAUAAUCUGCCCUUAAGUGUGGAAUAACGUACCGAAAGGUGCGCUAAUACCGCAUAAUGCCUGGUAACACAAGUUGUCCGGCCAAAGAAGGCCUCUGUUUACAAGCUUUCGCUUCAGGAUGAGUCCGCGUACCAUUAGCUUGUUGGUGGGGUAAUGGCCUACCAAGGCUGCGAUGGUUAGCUGGUCUGAGAGGAUGAUCAGCCACACUGGAACUGAGACACGGUCCAGACUCCUACGGGAGGCAGCAGUGAGGAAUAUUGCGCAAUGGGGGCAACCCUGACGCAGCAACGCCGCGUGAGUGAGGAAGGUUUUCGGACUGUAAAGCUCUGUCGAGCGGGAAGAAGUGUACCAUGGCUAAUAUCCAUGAUAUUUGACGGUACCGCUAGAGG
rnacentral:rRNA from 1 species